rnacentral:rRNA from 1 species
AGCGAACGUUAGCGGCGGGCCUAACACAUGCAAGUCGAGCGAGAAAGUCCUUCGGACCGGUAAGACGGCGCACGGUGAGUAACGCGUAGGUAAUCUACCUAUCAAUGGGGGAGUAACUCUCCGAAAGGAGAGCUAAUACCGCAUACGACUCUUGGGGCUGCGGCCUUGAGAGUGAAAGGUGGCCAAUCCACGGAAGCUGUCGUUGAUAGAUGAGCCUGCGUCCCAUCAGCUAGUUGGUAGGGUAAAUGCCUACCAAGGCUAAGACGGGUAGCUGGUCUGAGAGGAUGAUCAGCCACACUGGCACUGGAACACGGGCCAGACUCCCACGGGAGGCAGCAGUGAGGAAUAUUGGGCAAUGGGCGCAAGCCUGACCCAGCCACGCCGCGUGAGCGAUGAAGGCCUUGGUCGUAAGACUCUGUGGGAGGAGAAGAAUAAAGACCUGUGAAGAAUAGGGCCUUGACGGUAGUCUCCUUUA